rnacentral:rRNA from 1 species
GGGGGACCUUCGGGCCUCUUGCCAUCGGAUGUGCCCAGAUGGGAUUAGCUAGUAGGUGGGGUAACGGCUCACCUAGGCGACGAUCCCUAGCUGGUCUGAGAGGAUGACCAGCCACACUGGAACUGAGACACGGUCCAGACUCCUACGGGAGGCAGCAGUGGGGAAUAUUGCACAAUGGGCGCAAGCCUGAUGCAGCCAUGCCGCGUGUAUGAAGAAGGCCUUCGGGUUGUAAAGUACUUUCAGCGGGGAGGAAGGGAGUAAAGUUAAUACCUUUGCUCAUUGACGUUACCCGCAGAAGAAGCUCCGGCUAACUCCGCCCAGCAGCCGCGGUAAU